rnacentral:rRNA from 1 species
UGGGGAAUAUUGCACAAUGGGCGCAAGCCUGAUGCAGCCAUGCCGCGUGUGUGAAGAAGGCCUUCGGGUUGUAAAGCACUUUCAGCGAGGAGGAAGGUGGUGAGCUUAAUACGCUCAUCAAUUGACGUUACUCGCAGAAGAAGCACCGGCUAACUCCGUGCCAGCAGCCGCGGUAAUACGGAGGGUGCAAGCGUUAAUCGGAAUUACUGGGCGUAAAGCGCACGCAGGCGGUUUGUUAAGUCAGAUGUGAAAUCCCCGGGCUCAACCUGGGAACUGCAUUUGAAACUGGCAAGCUAGAGUCUCGUAGAGGGGGGUAGAAUUCCAGGUGUAGCGGUGAAAUGCGUAGAGAUCUGGAGGAAUACCGGUGGCGAAGGCGGCCCCCUGGACGAAGACUGACGCUCAGGUGCGAAAGCGUGGGGCAGCAAACAGGAUUAGAUACCCUGGUAGUCCACGCUGUAAAACGAUGUCGAUUUUGGAGGUUGUGCCCUUGAGGCGUGGCUUCCGGAGCUAACGCGUUAAAUCGACCGCCUGGGGAGUACGGCCGCAAGGUUAAAACUCAAAGGAAUUGACGGGG